CACGGUGUGGUUCAUGACUGGGGUGAAGUCGUAACAAGGUAGCCGUAGGGGAACCUGCGGCUGGAUCACCUCCUUAAACGAAG
rnacentral:rRNA from 1 species